rnacentral:lncRNA from 1 species
GGCACCUCACCUGGUGGGAAAAGUUCCUGGGAGCAAAUGCAUGCACAAAGAACAAAGGCAAAUACUCACAUCCCUUGCAACUUUGCUGCCCAGCACACUCCUUCUCCGUGCUGGCUAUCAUUGUGCCCAAAAGAAUGACAAAAUCAUUUGAUGGACAGUAGACAGAUAUGCAUUAUUCACAG